GACGAACGCUGGCGGCGUGCUUAACACAUGCAAGUCGAACGGAAAGGCCCUGCUUUUGUGGGGUGCUCGAGUGGCGAACGGGUGAGUAACACGUGAGUAACCUGCCCUUGACUUUGGGAUAACUUCAGGAAACUGGGGCUAAUACCGGAUAGGAGCUCCUGCUGCAUGGUGGGGGUUGGAAAGUUUCGGCGGUUGGGGAUGGACUCGCGGCUUAUCAGCUUAUUGGUGGGGUAGUGGCUUACCAAGGCUUUGACGGGUAGCCGGCCUGAGAGGGUGACCGGCCACGUGAGUGACGCGCCGGGCCCCAGCACGGGACGAGGGGGGGCGGAGGAGAACUGUGAGCAACCGGGGGAAGCCGGCUGGAGCGGCGGGGUGUGGGGCAGAGCGGUCUUCUGGUGGUACUGCGUGGGCGCCGGUGAGGAAGCGGGGGUGUGGGUAAUAGGAAAAGAAGCCCCGGCUAAAGACGCGCCAGCCGGAGCGGAAACAGACGAAGACCACAGGUCUGAUC
rnacentral:rRNA from 1 species